CAGCCGCCGCGGUAACACGAAGGGGGCUAGCGUUGCUCGGAAUGACUGGGCGUAAAGGGCGCGUAGGCGGCGAUCAAAGUCAGGCGUGAAAUUCCUGGGCUCAACCUGGGGGCUGCGUUUGAUACUUGAUUGCUAGAGUGGGGAAGAGGGUCGUGGAAUUCCCAGUGUAGAGGUGAAAUUCGUAGAUAUUGGGAAGAACACCGGUGGCGAAGGCGGCGACCUGGUCCUUGACUGACGCUGAGGCGCGAAAGCGUGGGGAGCAAACAGGAUUAGAUACCCGCGUAGUCCCUGUCUCUUAUAC
rnacentral:rRNA from 1 species